rfam:Salmo salar isolate Sally breed double haploid chromosome ssa03, whole genome shotgun sequence.
GCAUUGGUGGUUCAGAGGUAGAAUUCACGCCUGCCAUGCGGGAGGCCCGGGUUCGUUUCCCAGCUUAUGCA